rnacentral:rRNA from 1 species
CCUACGGGAGGCAGCAGUGAGGAAUAUUGGGCAAUGGGCGCUAGCCUGAACCAGCCAAGUAGCGUGAAGGAUGACUGCCCUAUGGGUUGUAAAUUUCUUUUAUAUGGGAAUAAAGUGCAGUAUGUAUACUGCUUUUCAUGUACCUUAUUAAUAAUGAUCGGCUAACUCCGUGCCAGCAGCCGCGGUAAUACGGAGGAUCCGAGCGUUAUCCGGAUUUAUUGGGUUGAAAGGGAGCGUAGGCGGGUGGUUAAGUCAGUUGUGAAAGUUUGCGGCUCAACCGUAAAAUUGCAGUUGAUACUGGCAUCCUUGAGUACAGUAGAGGUAGGCGGAAUUCGUGGUGUAGCGGUGAAAUGCUUAGAUAUCACGAAGAACUCCGAUUGCGAAGGCAGCCUGCUGGACUGUAACUGACGCUGAUGCGCGAAAGUGUGGGUAGCAAACAGGAUUAGAUACCCGGGUAGUC